CGCUGGCGGCGUGCCUAACACAUGCAAGUCGAGCGGAGAUGAUGUGAGGAAGUUUCGGAUGGAAUCACAUUAUUUAGCGGCGGACGGGUGAGUAACGCGUGAGCGACCAACCUUGCACAGGGGGAUAACGGACCGAAAGGUUCACUAAUACCGCAUGAGACCACAGUGUUGCAUGACACAGGGGUCAAAGGAGCAAUCCGGUGCAAGACGGGCUCGCGUCCGAUUAGGUGGUUGGUGGGUAACGGCCCACCAAGCCUAUGAUCGGUAGCCGACCUGAGAGGGUGAUCGGCCACAUUGGAACUGAGAUACGGUCCAAACUCCUACGGGAGGCAGCAGUGGGGAAUAUUGGGCAAAUGGGGGAAACCCUGACCCAGCAACGCCGCGUGAAGGAAGAAGGUUUUCGGAUUGUAAACUUCUGUCCUUGGUGAAGAGAAGAAGACGGUAGCCAAGGAGGAAGCCCCGGCUAACUACGUGCCAGCAGCCGC
rnacentral:rRNA from 1 species